rnacentral:rRNA from 1 species
CUCCGACUCAGAGAGUUUGAUCAUGGCUCAGGACGAACGCUGGCGGCGUGCUUAACACAUGCAAGUCGAACGAGGUCCACCGCGUAGCAAUACAAGGGAAGACCUAGUGGCGAACGGGUGCGUAACACGUGAGGAACUUGUCCCGGUCUCUGGGAUAACAGUUGGAAACGACUGCUAAUACCGGAUGACGUCGGAAUCUCGCAUGGGAUACUGACGAAAGGGUUACUGGAUCGGGAGAGCCUCGCGGCCUAUCAGCUUGUUGGUGAGGUAACGGCUCACCAAGGCAUCGACGGGUAGCUGGUCUGAGAGGAUGAUCAGCCACACUGGGACUGAGACACGGCCCAGACUCCUACGGGAGGCAGCAGUGGGGAAUCUUGCGCAAUGGGCGAAAGCCUGACGCAGCAACGCCGCGUGCGGGAAGAAGGCCCUCGGGUUGUAAACCGCUUUCAGAAGGAACGUAAAUGACGGUACUUUCAGAAGAAGGUGCGGCCAACUACGUG